rnacentral:rRNA from 1 species
GACGAACGCUGGCGGCGUGCUUAACACAUGCAAGUCGAACGGUGAAAGCGGAGCUUGCUCCGCUGGAUCAGUGGCGAACGGGUGAGUAACACGUGGGCAACCUGCCCCUCACUUCGGGAUAACUCCGGGAAACCGGGGCUAAUACCGGAUAUGACCUCCUUGGGCAUCCUUGGAGGUGGAAAGUUUUUCGGUGAGGGAUGGGCCCGCGGCCUAGCAGCUUGUAGGUGAGGUAGUGGCUCACCAAGGCGACGACGGGUAGCCGGCCUGAGAGGGCGACCGGCCACACUGGGACUGAGACACGGCCCAGACUCCUACGGGAGGCAGCAGUGGGGAAUAUUGCGCAAUGGGCGAAAGCCUGACGCAGCAACGCCGCGUGCGGGAUGACGGCCUUCGGGUUGUAAACCGCUUUCAGCAGGGAAGAAGCCGCAAGGUGACGGUACCUGCAGAAGAAGCACCGGCUAACUACGUGCCAGCCGCCGCGGUAA